UGGGGAAUAUUGGACAAUGGGGGGAACCCUGAUCCAGCCAUGCCGCGUGUGUGAAGAAGGCCUUAUGGUUGUAAAGCACUUUAAGCGAGGAGGAGGGUACUGGUAUUAAUACUACCAGCUACUGGACGUUACUCGCAGAAUAAGCACCGGCUAACUCUGUGCCAGCAGCCGCGGUAAUACAGAGGGUGCGAGCGUUAAUCGGAUUUACUGGGCGUAAAGCGUGCGUAGGCGGCUAAUUGAGUCGGAUGUGAAAUCCCCGAGCUUAACUUGGGAAUUGCAUUCGAUACUGGUUAGCUAGAGUGUGGGAGAGGAUGGUAGAAUUACAGGUGUAGCGGUGAAAUGCGUAGAGAUCUGGAGGAAUACCGAUGGCGAAGGCAGCCAUCUGGCCUAACACUGACGCUGAGGUACGAAAGCAUGGGGAGCAAACAGG
rnacentral:rRNA from 1 species